GACGAACGCUGGCGGCGUGCCUAAUACAUGCAAGUAGGACGCAGUUGCGAACGGGUGAGUAACGCGUAGGUAACUACCUAUUAGAGGGGGAUAACUAUUGGAAACGAUAGCUAAUACCGCAUACUAGUAGAUGGACCUGCGUUGUAUUAGCUAGUAGGUAGGGUAAAGGCCUACCUAGGCAACGAUACAUAGCCGACAUGAGAAGGUGAUCGGGCCCGCUGGGACUGAGACACGGUCCAGACUCCUACGGGAGGCAGCCGUAGGGAAUCUUCGGCAAUGGGGAGAACCCUGACCGAGCAACGCCGCGUGAGUUAAGAAGGUUUUCGGAUCGUAAAGCUCUGUUGUUAAGGAAGCGGUACUUAACCAGAAAGGGACGGCUAACUCCGUGCCAGCCGCCGCGGUAUUAC
rnacentral:rRNA from 1 species